UCCAGAGAGCCUUUCCUUGAGUCAACUAUAUAACUUGGACCGGCGUUGCCUGGAUUUAUGAGGCCUUCCGUAGGAGCGAACGUCUUCAUGUUGAAUUACCCUGGCCCGGAGGUGGAUGCAGGAAUCUGCCUGGAGAUAAUCAAGAUCGACACCGUGCCUUAUAACACACCUUAGUACCCUGUAAUCUGAGCACACUGGGGCUGAUUUAACCCCCUCACCGCUGUCGCGAGAGCCCCAGGUCCUUACCCCGUGGGGACGGACACGGAGCGUGGGGCAGGUUGCCCUGGGCUCCUGGGUCGCCCGGAUCUGCCUUCCCCUCGAUGAAAAGGCCUCCUAUUCUGCUCCUGAGGACUGAACCGUCUGCCCUGCGCACUGGUUGGCUUGUUCAAAUCAGUGUCCAAAUUCUUUCCUGCGCUUUACAGGGGACACUGGGAUGACAGCAGAUGAGAGGACCCUGAGAAGUUAGUGACUUGUCCAAGAUCAGCUAGGAAGCAGGACCCAGGACUGCAAUCCAGGGCUGCUGUGAGGAUCAAACAAGAUAAUGUAUGCUAAAGCAUGCCAUGACCACUACGUGCUGGGUGCAGGAGAAUGGAGGCCCCAGGGUGGGUCUAAUGACACUCUUGUUGAUGAAGAUCUUGGCUGUGAACUCUGUGGAAAAUGAGCCAUGGACCAACCAACGUGAGUGAUGAUUCAAUCUGAUUUCUUCAUUCUCCCAUGAGGAAGCUCUUGGCUGUCCCUUCUGUGGAUAAGGAGCAAAGUGACUCAUGUAAGUGACAGAGUUUGUGUUCUUGGUGUGGAGGUAAUUCAUGUGGGUUUUUUGUGGGAUUGUUUCAAAGGAAGAAUGGCCACUGUAAACAUAAGUGAAAUCAGACACACCAGGCUCGGACCACAGCUGGGAAUGUGUAAUGAACCACAUAUUAAGACAAGGACCUUUUAGUUUAACUGAGAUCCAUUAGAAAGAAAG